AGAAAGAAGUCUGAGGAAGAAGCAGCAAAGUUGAAAGCAGAACAAGAGGAAGAGAAAGCUCCUAAGGAAGAUGGGAAGGAAAAGGAUAAUGGCAAAAUCAAAGAGAACGGCUUCAACUCGAAUGGAAAUUGUAAGAGUACAGUUCCCUCUGGAGACAACUGAACCAGAAGUAGAUUGCAUCUGUAGGCCUUGAUUGAAUAAUGUAUUUGGUUGGUAUUGUAUGG
rnacentral:misc_RNA from 1 species